CGGCAGGCCUAACACAUGCAAGUCGAACGGUAACAGGAAGAAGCUUGCUUCUUUGCUGACGAGUGGCGGACGGGUGAGUAAUGUCUGGGAAACUGCCUGAUGGAGGGGGAUAACUACUGGAAACGGUAGCUAAUACCGCAUAACGUCGCAAGACCAAAGAGGGGGACCUUCGGGCCUCUUGCCAUCGGAUGUGCCCAGAUGGGAUUAGCUAGUAGGUGGGGUAACGGCUCACCUAGGCGACGAUCCCUAGCUGGUCUGAGAGGAUGACCAGCCACACUGGAACUGAGACACGGUCCAGACUCCUACGGGAGGCAGCAGUGGGGAAUAUUGCACAAUGGGCGCAAGCCUGAUGCAGCCAUGCCGCGUGUAUGAAGAAGGCCUUCGGGUUGUAAAGUACUUUCAGCGGGGAGGAAGGGAGUAAAGUUAAUACCUUUGCUCAUUGACGUUACCCGCAGAAGAAGCACCGGCUAACUCCGUG
rnacentral:rRNA from 1 species